rnacentral:rRNA from 1 species
CUAACACAUGCAAGUAGAGCGAUAACAUUUUUAGCUUGUUAGAAGAUGACGAGCGGCGGACGGGUGAGUAAUGCUUGGGAACAUGCCUUGAGGUGGGGGACAACAGUUGGAAACGACUGCUAAUACCGCAUAAUGUCUACGGACCAAAGGGGGCUUCGGCUCUCGCCUUUAGAUUGGCCCAAGUGGGAUUAGCUAGUUGGUGAGGUAAUGGCUCACCAAGGCGACGAUCCCUAGCUGGUUUGAGAGGAUGAUCAGCCACACUGGGACUGAGACACGGCCCAGACUCCUACGGGAGGCAGCAGUGGGGAAUAUUGCACAAUGGGCGCAAGCCUGAUGCAGCCAUGCCGCGUGUGUGAAGAAGGCCUUCGGGUUGUAAAGCACUUUCAGUCAGGAGGAAAGGUUAGUAGUUAAUACCUGCUAGCUGUGACGUUACUGACAGAAGAAGCACCGGCUAACUCCGUGCCAGCAGCCGCGGUAAUACGGAGGGUGCGAGCGUUAAUCGGAAUUACUGGGCGUAAAGCGUACGCAGGCGGUUUGUUAAGCGAGAUGUGAAAGCCCCGGGCUCAACCUGGGAACUGCAUUUCGAACUGGCAAACUAGAGUGUGAUAGAGGGUGGUAGAAUUUCAGGUGUAGCGGUGAAAUGCGUAGAGAUCUGAAGGAAUACCGAUGGCGAAGGCAGCCACCUGGGUCAACACUGACGCUCAUGUACUAUAUCGUGGGGAGCAAACAGGAUUAGAUAUCCUGGUAGUCCAUGCCGUAAACGAUGUGUUCUAGAAGCUCGGAACCUCGGUUCUGUUUUUCAAAGCUACGCAUUAAGU